rnacentral:rRNA from 1 species
ACGGAAGGCAGCAGUGGGGAAUAUUGCACAAUGGGGGAAACCCUGAUGCAGCAACGCCGCGUGAGUGAUGACGGUCUUCGGAUUGUAAAGCUCUGUCUUUAGGGACGAUAAUGACGGUACCUAUGGAGGAAGCCACGGCUCACUACGUGCCAGCAGCCGCGGUAAUACGUAGGUGGCAAGCGUUGUCCGGAUUUACUGGGCGUAAAGGGAGCGUAGGUGGAUAUUUAAGUGGGAUGUGAAAUACUCGGGCUUAACCUGGGUGCUGCAUUCCAAACUGGAUAUCUAGAGUGCAGGAGAGGAAAGGAGAAUUCCUAGUGUAGCGGUGAAAUGCGUAGAGAUUAGGAAGAAUACCAGUGGCGAAGGCGCCUUUCUGGACUGUAACUGACACUGAGGCUCGAAAGCGUGGGGAGCAAACAGGAUUAGAUACCCUGGUA